rnacentral:lncRNA from 1 species
CUGCUGCUAUGCCAGCCACCACUCACCACCUGAGCCACAAGCACUGCACUGCCCAGGAAUGUCCAGCUGGGAAAAUCAGCAGCAGCAAGCUAGCUAAUUCUCCAACAGAAAGAUGAAGUAUUGAGAAAUGGAUGAAUUGACGCAGUGACCAAAAUCAAACUACUUUUGCAAAUAAUAGUUUAAUUAAUUCACUAAUAAUAAGGCUUGUGACGAUGUGCCCGGAGAUGCAUGGAAUAAGCAAGCUAGUUAAGCAGAUAGCUAUGUGACCUGUUAGCAAAGAUUACGAUAACUUACCCUUUCAUAUGUGGUGUUAGCUAGCUAGCUAUAUUAGCUACUAUGCUAGCUAGCUGGCUAGAUAAACAUGGUGUUAAGAUAUCAGAUAGGAGCUAAUAGCCAACGUAGUUAGCUAACGUUACCUGGUUAUCAUUUUGAACAUGCACCAUGUUUAGCAAUACUAUAUGAUAUGAGCGAUGGAGACAGAUGUGAGGAGAUGUGAAAGGGAGCGUAGUUAAAGCCUUGCUCUAUCCAAUCGUAGCAGUAGGAUGAAGUCAGUUAUUAGUUAUUAGGCUAUUAUUAGUUAUUAGGCCAUUAGAGUUAUUAGGCUAUUAGAGUUAUUAGGCUAUUAUAGCUAUUAGAGUUAUUAGGCUAUUAGAGUUAUUAGGCUAUUAUUAGUUAUUAGGCUAUUAUUAGUUAUUAGGCUAUUAUUAGUUAUUAGGCUAUUAGAUUUAUUAGGCUAUUAUUAGUUAUUGGGUUAUUAGAGUUAUUGGUUAUUAGGCUGUUAUUAGUUAUUAGGCUAUUAUUAGUUAUUAGGCUAUUAGUUGGACUGGGCGAUAUGACCAAAAUUUCAUAUCACAAUAUUUGAAAACAUUUUGAUGGUAUAUACAGUAUUUGACAGAAUUGAGUGUUUUUGAAUAAUACAGGUUUUAAAUGUGCUUUAUGAGUUGACCCUUGGGUGGCAUCACAUACAUUCUGGGAUUUCAAUGGUUCUUUCUCCAUUCUGGUUGUUUUCUACUAUUAUGGGCCCAGGUCAACAGUAGUGCACUACAUGGGGAAUAGAGGGACAUUUGGAAUGCAGCCUUAGUUAGGACAGACAUGAGGCUCUGCUGCUGACUCCUAACCCAGUUGGCGUGGCUGGCAGCUAGCUAGUCAACAUCUCCUGGGACACUCCUCUCCUCCUCCCUCCUCUCCUCUCCUCCUGAUAAGAACACGUCUGAGACCUUGGGAAGUCCAGAGGGAGAAGCAUGUUGACAAAACAGGGAGAGAGAUAUGCUUUCCUCUCCACCUCUCCUCCCCUGGCCUCUCCUCUGCCUCUCUUACUCUCCUCCCCUGGCCUCUCCUCUACCUCUCCACCUCUCCUCCCC